AAAGCAGAGUCUUAGUUCAAUUCAGUGGGGGUAGAAGGUACCUUAGAGAUGAUCUAAGACAACCUCAAAUCAUGACCCAGAAGAAGAGAUAUUAAUAUAUAAAUAAAUAUUCUGUACAGGCAAACCAUUCCUUAAGAGGAAAAAGAAGCUGAGAAUCAGACAUGUUAAGCAACUUGCUAAGGGUCACAAAAAUACAAAUAAAAGAGCAAAGAUUCAAACCUAGGUCCUUUGACAAAAAAUGUGGGACCCUCUCAACUGCACUAUAUGCCAGGAGGUUCUGUCAAGCAUUGAGUAAUCAUGCCUAUACUGAGCUCCUCUUUAUAAAAAGUCAGCAACAAAUGGACCAAAUAAAAUGAGAGAACAAGAAAGAGGAAGAAGAAUGGAAAGAAAUACUUCUAAGGGAAAACUCCUUAAAACAAAAAUGAAGCCACAAAAGAAGCCCAAUGCAAUGAGUCAGUGUGCAUUAAAUGAGAAUAAGGAGACAUCUUUGUAAGGAAAGAUAACCAUACCCACAGAAGUGAAACUCUGUAUACCACAAAUACCUUCAGAGUUGUUAAUAAGGGGCUUGAUGGUAUCCAUAAAGAUAAAAUUAAAAUUAAUGAAGGAAGAACAACAUGCAAAUGAACAACACUGCACAAGUUGGAAUUGGG
rnacentral:lncRNA from 1 species